rnacentral:lncRNA from 13 species
GUUUAGCCUACUAUUUAUUUAAUAAGUAUCCACCCUGUGCCUGGUUUACCGUUGUUUACAGAGAGGCAUUUCCCAAAGCCUUACCAUCGAGUGGUCUGACCACCCUGAGACCUAAAGGGGAGAACUGAAGUCAGGAGCUGUGUCCUGGGUGUGCUCUUGCUCAACUUCAGCUGUGCUUCACUGUGCUCCUGCUUCUUUUACCUUUCCUGGAAAAUAGGACAUAUAGGACUUCUAUUCAGAAGAUGGGAUCUUGCUCUGUCACCCAGGCUGGAGUACAGUGGUGUGAUCAUAGCUCACUGCAGCCUUGAGCUUCUGGGCUCAAGGGAUUCUCCCACCUCAGCCUCCUGAGUAACUGGGACUACAGGUACAUGUCACCACACACAGCUAAUUAAACAAAAUGUGUUAGACAUGGGGUCUUGCUAUGUUCCCCAGGCUGAUCUUGAACUCUUAGCCUCUAGCAAUCCUCCUGCCUCAGAUUCCUGAGUAGAGUUGACAAUGUAACCUCCAUUUUUAAUUGAAAUUUAGUCAGACAUGAAGACAAUAAAGUAUCUCUGAAUAAAAAUUUCCUUCA